UACGUAGGGUGCGAGCGUUUAAUCGGAAUUACUGGGCGUAAAGCGUGCGUAGGCGGUUCGCUGUGUCCGAUGUGAAAGCCCCGGGCUUAACCUGGGAAUGGCAUUGGAAACUGGCGGGCUUGAGUGCGGCAGAGGGGGGUGGAAUUCCGCGUGUAGCAGUGAAAUGCGUAGAGAUGCGGAGGAACACCGAUGGCGAAGGCAGCCCCCUGGGUCGACACUGACGCUCAGGCACGAAAGCGUGGGGAGCAAACAGG
rnacentral:rRNA from 1 species